rnacentral:rRNA from 1 species
UAAUCGCGGAUCAGCAUGCCGCGGUGAAUACGUUCUCGGGCCUUGUACACACCGCCCGUCACACCAUGGGAGUCGGUAACACCCGAAGUCUGUAGCCUGACGCAAGAGGGCGCAGCCGAAGGUGGGAUUGAUGACUGGGGUGAAGUCGUAACAAGGUAGC